CCUUCGAUAGCUCAGUUGGUAGAGCGGAGGACUGUAGAUCCUUAGGUCGCUGGUUCAACUCCGGCUCGGAGGA
rnacentral:tRNA from 1 species